rnacentral:rRNA from 1 species
AUUGAACGCUGGCGGCAGGCCUAACACAUGCAAGUCGAACGAGUGGCGGACGGGUGAGUAAUGUCUGGGAAACUGCCUGAUGGAGGGGGAUAACUACUGGAACCGGUAGCUAAUACCGCCUACCAUCGGAUGUGCCUCGGUGGGAUUCACUAGUGGGGGGGGUAACGGCUCACCUCGGCGACGAUCCCUAGCUGGUCCGCGAGGAUGACCAGCAACACGGGAACUGAGACACGGUCCAGACUCCUACGGGAGGCAGCAGUGGGGAUUAUUGGACAAUGGGCGAAAGCCGGAUGCAGCCAUGCCGCGUGUAUGAAGAAGGCCUUCGGGGUGUAAAGUCCUGUCAGCGGGGAGGCGGUACCCGCAGAAGAAGUACCGGCUAACUCCGUGCCAGCAGCCGCGGUAAUAC